rnacentral:lncRNA from 1 species
GAAUAGUACUGGGUUGGGUGACCUCCCGGGAAGUCCAAACUCAGGAGCUUACAUUUGGUAUCAGAGGGGUCUCGGGUCCGACUCUGUUGGUUGGCUAGGGAAAUCACACCACAUGUUGAUUGACAUCUGGCUGGUCCAGUUUGCUCCCACUGGGCUCGACCCGAGGGGUAGGGUGUCAAGAGAGCGGGGCUCUCGGGAGAGCUGCGGCUCUUAGCUUCCGUUCACGAGGGCGUGAACUUGCAGGGAAGCGUGGUGGAUUGUAAGCAACCAAAGGGAACGACUUGAGAGACGAUCCAUGGGGUUUAAAUAU